rfam:Paenibacillus sabinae T27, complete genome.
UUUGGUGGCGAUGGCGGAGGGGUUCCACGCGUACCCAUCCCGAACACGACCGUUAAGCCCUCCAGCGCCGAUGGUACUUGGACCGAAGGGUCCUGGGAGAGUAGGACGCCGCCAAGC